GCUCCUCUGAUCAUCACAGGACCUCCUCCCUCCUGACCUUCUUUCAUCCUGCAGCUUCAGCAGCUGCUGAUAAACAGCUUCCCUUCCAAACACAAAGUGCUGCGUGGAGGUCAUUUCUGUUCUGCAGCUCACUAAAGACUCAACAAACUGCUGCAUGUUGACAUGAACCAUGUUUCAAACCAGAACUUCCGACAGUGAAAGCUUCGUCAGCAUCAACCUGCAUGUUCAGUGUCAGUGCCAGCAGCCGGAUGUUCUUAAAAGUGUCUUGCAGGUUGAAACCAGGUGAUUG